AUUCUUGCAGAAGGCUGAAAGGAGACCGCUUAUUGUAGAAGCUCGAUCGAGGAUCGAUUGUCGUGAGAGCUCGGAGUAGCAAUCUGGCCGGUGGGUCCUGUCCUACUGUAGAAGCUCGUCUGGGAUCCGGCUACGAAGAAGCUCGGCUGAAGUCAACCUGUAAUGGAAGUUCGGAAGAGACGUGUUUAUAGUAGGGGCUCGAAUGGAAUUUGCUUACAGCAGAGAUCCAGAGUAGACCACCCGCUGUAG
rnacentral:lncRNA from 1 species